GACGAACGCUGGCGGCGUGCUUAACACAUGCAAGUCGAACGGAAAGGCCCUGCUCUUGUGGGGUGCUCGAGUGGCGAACGGGUGAGUAACACGUGAGUAACCUGCCCUUGACUUUGGGAUAACUUCAGGAAACUGGGGCUAAUACCGGAUAGGAGCUCCUGCUGCAUGGUGGGGGUUGGAAAGUUUCGGCGGUUGGGGAUGGACUCGCGGCUUAUCAGCUUGUUGGUGGGGUAGUGGCUUACCAAGGCUUUGACGGGUAGCCGGCCUGAGAGGGUGACCGGCCACAUUGGGACUGAGAUACGGCCCAGACUCCUACGGGAGGCAGCAGUGGGGAAUAUUGCACAGUGGGCGGAAGCCUGAUGCAGCAACGCCGCGUGCGGGAUGACGGCCUUCGGGUUGUAAACCGCUUUCGCCUGUGACGAAGCGUGCGUGACGGUAAUGGGUAAAGAAGCACCGGCUAACUACGUG
rnacentral:rRNA from 1 species